ensembl:snRNA RNU6-144P RNA, U6 small nuclear 144, pseudogene
GUGCUCGUUUUGGCAGCACAUAUACUAAAAUUGGAACGACACAGAGAAGAUUAGCAUGGCCCCUGCACAAGGAUGACACGCAAAUUUGUGAAGUGUUCCAUAUUUUU